rnacentral:rRNA from 1 species
GACAGAGGGUGCAAACGUUGUCCGGAAUUAUUGGGCGUAAAGAGCUCGUAGGCGGUCUGUUACGUCGGCUGUGAAAACCUGGGGCUCAACUCCGGGCCUGCAGCCGAUACGGGCAGACUAGAGUUCGGCAGGGGAGACUGGAAUUCCUGGUGUAGCGGUGAAAUGCGCAGAUAUCAGGAGGAACACCGGUGGCGAAGGCGGGUCUCUGGGCCGAAACUGACGCUGAGGAGCGAAAGCGUGGGGAGCGAACAGG